CAACGCCGGCAGGAACGCAGGGCGCUGGGCCAGGGCCCGCCUCCAGAGGGCGGUGUGCGUCCUUGGCGCUGGAGCACCUGCGUUUCGGGGACCCGGGCAGGUGUAGGGGUCUGCGUUCGGCUCCAGGCCUCCUGCAGGUGCAAUAAGAAUAUUACUAAUGUGUCCUCUGGAAUGGUGACGUGAACACAGUUCCCUGCAGAUGUAACUGGGAGAGAAGGCAGAGUCCUGACACAGGGUAAGACUGUGGAGAUGUAUUGCUGGCCCCAUCAGUUGGGAUCUCACUUUGCUGCCUAGCCUGGAGUGCAGUGGUGUAAACUCAGCUCACUGCAGCCUCAAACUCCUGGACUCAAGUGAUCCAUCCUCUCACUUCAGCCUCCUGAAUAGCUGGGACUACAGCUGUCUCUUAACUUCCUCAAAAGACAUCAGUCCUGGCUGCCCUCCAGAAGAGCCAUCCCAAGACAUUAUCUAGGCAUCAGUGUCUUCACCAGGGCAACACGGAACAUCUCCACUGAAUACCUGGUGGCUGCAGCGGCUGAUGUGAGAUGUGUGCCUGCUUUCCAUCAGAUUCCCAAAGCAGAGCCCCUGGAGGCUUUGGCCCAUGCCCCUGAGGCUCCCUUUCAUGAGGAAGAAAUUCUUUGGAAAGCCAACACCACUACUGGAGAGAAAGUAGGGGUUGUGUUAUAGAAGUACUGUCUUUAUUUUGGGAGGCUGAGGUGGUGGAUCAUGAGGUCAAGAGAUCGGAACCAUCCUGGCCAACAUGGUAAAACCCCAUGUCUACUAAAAAUACAAAAAUUAGCCAGGCAUGAUGAUGCGCACCUGUAGUCCCAGCUACUUGGGAGGCUGGGGCAGGAGAAUCCCGUGUACCUAGGAGGCAGAGGUUGCAUUAAGCUGAGAUCAUACCAUUGCACUCCAGCCUAGUGACAGAGCAAGAUUCCAUCUCAGAAAAAAAAGUAGCUCACAGCUGUAUAGAGUGAGCUUAAGUGCUGGGUCCCUGUGAUUAGGAAGAGAAAGGAAAUUUAGCCUCCAGGAUGUGAGAGCUCCAUGGAAGGCAGUAGCCCGGAAUAAAACAGGUAUCAGCACAGAAAACCCACCAGCACCCGGAAAAGGAAGAAAUAUGCCACAACCGUCACUCUCCCUGCGAAUGACUUCUUUACACACCUCCAUCCCAUCUCCUGGCUCAAUCUCCUAUUCUCUCAUAGCUGGGGAGGUCUCCAUUGUAAUUCGUAUUGGGUGGUUAACCUGCAGGCUAUUCUGAGGAUCCCAGCUCCCUUUCACUGCAACCUGCAUCUGCAUCCUUUGCUUUGCAGUAGGAGUUGAGAGAGGUAGGAUGAAGGUGUAGCCACAGGCUACAUUUAAACAAGCACAGAGUUCACAGGGGAAAAAAAACCCAAACCAAAACAAUAAAACCUUCAUCAAUCGUUAAAGAAAUGAAAAUGAACCGUUUGAGGUUAUCUAUUUUUAUCUACUAAGUCAAGAAAAGCUAAUUUAAUUCCUGGCAAGUUCACAAUAAAAAAAUAUAUAUACUUGCUCUUGGUGGCAUUGUAAGUAGUUAAAAGCUUUUUGGGCAGUACUUUGGAAUACAUCAAGUUUGAAAAUGAUUAUACCAGUGGACCCAAUCAUCUUGCUCAUGGAAAUUCAUCCAAAGGAAAUAAUUAAGUGGAAAAAACAACGUGUCUACACUUGUUUCACCCAAAUGCCCAGCAAUAAAGGAAUGACGAAAGAAAUCCCAGCACAUACUCUGAACCUAACAGAAAUGGAGCAUUUGGAACUAGAAUUGCGCAGACUGAACUGAAAAUGGAAGUGGCUUUAAAUGAUGUUAAGUGGAAACAUUGUAUGUCCAGUCGAAACUUGGUAAGAUACAGAUUCCAGUGGUCAGAAUCGGAAAAUUUCAACAAAUGAAAAUCACAGGGUUAACAGAGAGGUGCUGUUGGUUGUAGAAAAGCAUUUUCAAAAAUUAAUGAUUCAAAAUUAUUUUUCAAAAAAAGUAGAUUUAAAAUCAUGUAUUUCAGGAAGUAUGGCCCAUGGUGUCUCUUGGAAAAAGUAGAAGACCUGGCAUAUCGCCCAAAGGGAACUCUCUAGCUUAAGAUUACCCUGAUGACGAGUGGGAAACAGUCAGGCACUUUCCGGCACGCUUAGUAACAGGGGUGCCCUUCUGUGCAGAAGGAAGGUGCUCUGUGGUCCACCCUUUAUUUGGAUCCUGAGAUCAGAAUUCUAAUUGGGCAGAAGUAACCAGGGGAGGAAACAGCAUUUCUUCAAAGCUGAAGAGAGCUUUUUGGAGGGGAAAAUAAAAAAUCCUGGGAACUCUUUGCAUGACUGGUGGGUUGAACAAUGGCUUUGCACCCCAAGACCAGCCUGGCCUCGUGGUUGUAAAUCUGGGGGCUGCUGACAAACGGUUUCCCACCUUGGGACUUGAGUCUGCAGUUCAAGAGUCAUGUGGGCCUGCCUGAGCCGCAGGGCUUGGCCCCUGUGCUGAGCACAGGCUUCUAGAAGAAGCCUUACGGGAAAGGAAACGCUCAGGUUUCACUUG